rnacentral:rRNA from 1 species
UACGAAGGGGACUAGCGUUGUUCGGAAUCACUGGGCGUAAAGCGCACGUAGGCGGAUGUGUCAGUCAGGGGUGAAAUCCCGGGGCUCAACCUCGGAACUGCCUUUGAUACAGCACGUCUCGAGUCCGGAAGAGGUGGGUGGAAUUCCUAGUGUAGAGGUGAAAUUCGUAGAUAUUAGGAAGAACACGGUGGCGAAGGCGGCCCACUGGUCCGGUACUG